rnacentral:rRNA from 1 species
AUUGAACGCUGGCGGCAGGCUUAACACAUGCAAGUCGAGCGGAGAUGAGGUGCUUGCACCUUAUCUUAGCGGCGGACGGGUGAGUAAUGCUUAGGAAUCUGCCAUUUAGUGGGGGACAACAUUCCGAAAGGGAUGCUAAUACCGCAUACGUCCUACGGGAGAAAGCAGGGGAUCUUCGGACCUUGCGCUAAAUGAUGAGCCUAAGUCGGAUUAGCUAGUUGGUGGGGUAAAGGCCUACCAAGGCGACGAUCUGUAGCGGGUCUGAGAGGAUGAUCCGCCACACUGGGACUGAGACACGGCCCAGACUCCUACGGGAGGCAGCAGUGGGGAAUAUUGGACAAUGGGCGGAAGCCUGAUCCAGCCAUGCCGCGUGUGUGAAGAAGGCCUUUUGGUUGUAAAGCACUUUAAGCGAGGAGGAGGCUACCUGGAUUAAUACUCUGGGAUAGUGGACGUUACUCGCAGAAUAAGCACCGGCUAACUCUGUGCCAGCAGCCGCGGUAAUACAGAGGGUGCGAGCGUUAAUCGGAUUUACUGGGCGUAAAGCGUGCGUAGGCGGCUUUUUAAGUCGGAUGUGAAAUCCCCGAGCUUAACUUGGGAAUUGCAUUCGAUACUGGGAAGCUAGAGUAUGGGAGAGGAUGGUAGAAUUCCAGGUGUAGCGGUGAAAUGCGUAGAGAUCUGGAGGAAUACCGAUGGCGAAGGCAGCCAUCUGGCCUAAUACUGACGCUGAGGUACGAAAGCAUGGGGAGCAAACAGGAUUAGAUACCCUGGUAGUCCAUGCCGUAAACGAUGUCUACUAGCCGUUGGGGCCUUUGAGGCUUUAGUGGCGCAGCUAACGCGAUAAGUAGACCGCCUGGGGAGUACGGUCGCAAGACUAAAACUCAAAUGAAUUGGCGGGGGCCCGCACAAGCGGUGGAGCGUGUGGUUUAAUUCGAUGCAACGCGAAGAACCUUACCUGGCCUUGACAUACUAGAAACUUUCCAGAGAUGGAUUGGUGCCUUCGGGAAUCUAGAUACAGGUGCUGCAUGGCUGUCGUCAGCUCGUGUCGUGAGAUGUUGGGUUAAGUCCCGCAACGAGCGCAACCCUUUUCCUUACUUGCCAGCAUUUCGGAUGGGAACUUUAAGGAUACUGCCAGUGACAAACUGGAGGAAGGCGGGGACGACGUCAAGUCAUCAUGGCCCUUACGGCCAGGGCUACACACGUGCUACAAUGGUCGGUACAAAGGGUUGCUACCUAGCGAUAGGAUGCUAAUCUCAAAAAGCCGAUCGUAGUCCGGAUUGGAGUCUGCAACUCGACUCCAUGAAGCCGGAAUCGCUAGUAAUCGCGGAUCAGAAUGCCGCGGUGAAUACGUUCCCGGGCCU